UAGGGAAUCUUCGGCAAUGGGGGGAACCCUGACCGAGCAACGCCGCGUGAGUGAAGAAGGUUUUCGGAUCGUAAAGCUCUGUUGUUAAGGAAGAACGAGUGUGAGAAUGGAAAGUUCAUACUGUGACGGUACUUAACCAGAAAGGGACGGCUAACUACGUGCCAGCAGCCUCGGUAAUACGUAGGUCCCGAGCGUUGUCCGGAUUUAUUGGGCGUAAAGCGAGCGCAGGCGGUUAGAUAAGUCUGAAGUUAAAGGCAGUGGCUCAACCAUUGUAGGCUUUGGAAACUGUUUAACUUGAGUGCAGAAGGGGAGAGUGGAAUUCCAUGUGUAGCGGUGAAAUGCGUAGAUAUAUGGAGGAACACCGGUGGCGAAAGCGGCUCUCUGGUCUGUAACUGACGCUGAGGCUCGAAAGCGUGGGGAGCGAACAGG
rnacentral:rRNA from 1 species